rnacentral:rRNA from 1 species
UACGUAGGGGGCUAGCGUUGUCCGGAUUUAUUGGGCGUAAAGAGCGUGUAGGCGGCCAGGUAGGUCUGGUGUGAAAAACUCGAGGCUUAACCUCGAGAUGUCAUCGGAAACCAUCUGGCUAGAGUCCGGAAGAGGAGAGUGGAAUUCCUGGUGUAGCGGUGAAAUGCGCAGAUAUCAGGAGGAACACCGGUGGCGAAGGCGGGGUCUCUGGGGCCGUAAACUGACGCUGAGGAGCGAAAAGCGUGGGGGAGCGAACAGGG